AUGAACGCUAGCUACAGGCUUAACACAUGCAAGUCGAGGGGAAACGACAUCGAAAGCUUGCUUUUGAUGGGCGUCGACCGGCGCACGGGUGAGUAACGCGUAUCCAACCUGCCCACCACUUGGGGAUAACCUUGCGAAAGUAAGACUAAUACCCAAUGAUAUCUCUAGAAGACAUCUGAAAGAGAUUAAAGAUUUAUCGGUGAUGGAUGGGGAUGCGUCUGAUUAGCUUGUUGGCGGGGUAACGGCCCACCAAGGCAACGAUCAGUAGGGGUUCUGAGAGGAAGGUCCCCCACAUUGGAACUGAGACACGGUCCAAACUCCUACGGGAGGCAGCAGUGAGGAAUAUUGGUCAAUGGACGAGAGUCUGAACCAGCCAAGUAGCGUGCAGGAAGACGGCCCUAUGGGUUGUAAACUGCUUUUAUAAGGGAAUAAAGUGAGUCUCGUGAGACUUUUUGCAUGUACCUUAUGAAUAAGGACCGGCUAAUUCCGUGCCAGCAGCCGCGGUAAUACGGAAGGUCCGGGCGUUAUCCGGAUUUAUUGGGUUUAAAGGGAGCGUAGGCCGGAGAUUAAGCGUGUUGUGAAAUGUAGGCGCUCAACGUCUGCACUGCAGCGCGAACUGGUUUCCUUGAGUACGCACAAAGUGGGCGGAAUUCGUGGUGUAGCGGUGAAAUGCUUAGAUAUCACGAAGAACUCCGAUUGCGAAGGCAGCUCACUGGAGCGCAACUGACGCUGAAGCUCGAAAGUGCGGGUAUCGAACAGGAUUAGAUACCCUGGUAGUCCGCACGGUAAACGAUGGAUGCCCGCUGUUGGUCUGAAUAGGUCAGCGGCCAAGCGAAAGCAUUAAGCAUCCCACCUGGGGAGUACGCCGGCAACGGUGAAACUCAAAGGAAUUGACGGGGGCCCGCACAAGCGGAGGAACAUGUGGUUUAAUUCGAUGAUACGCGAGGAACCUUACCCGGGCUCAAACGCCGCAGGGAUCACUUUUGAAAGGGAGUGAGCCAGCAAAGGACUGCGGCGAGGUGCUGCAUGGUUGUCGUCAGCUCGUGCCGUGAGGUGUCGGCUUAAGUGCCAUAACGAGCGCAACCCCUCUCCUUAGUUGCCAUCAGGUCAAGCUGGGCACUCUGGGGACACUGCCACCGUAAGGUGUGAGGAAGGUGGGGAUGACGUCAAAUCAGCACGGCCCUUACGUCCGGGGCUACACACGUGUUACAAUGGCAGGUACAGAGAGACGGUCCCUUGCAAAACGGAUCAAAUCCUUAAAGCCUGUCUCAGUUCGGACUGGGGUCUGCAACCCGACCCCACGAAGCUGGAUUCGCUAGUAAUCGCGCAUCAGCCAUGGCGCGGUGAAUACGUUCCCGGGCCUUGUACACACCGCCCGUCAAGCCAUGAAAGCCGGGGGCGCCUAAAGUCCGUGACCGUAAGGAGCGGCCUAGGGCGAAACUGGUAAUUGGGGCU
rnacentral:rRNA from 1 species